rnacentral:rRNA from 1 species
AUGUCAUAUAUCUCACGAGCUAGAUCACUUCCCGAUGAACAAGUCAGAAUUGCCUCAACAAAAAUGGAUGGAAUUGGACCGGAAAAAGCCAUUCAACUUCGUUAUCGAUUAGGUAUCAGUGGGAACAUCAAGAUGAAUGAGUUCACUAAGUAUCAGAUCUACCAAAUUGAACAAAUGAUAGUGCAAGAUCAUGUUGUUAAUUGGGAAUUGAAGAGGGGAAAACGAGCAGACAUCGAACAAUUAAUUUCUAUUUCUCGUUAUCGUGGAAUUCGUCAUCGUGGAAUUUGUCAUCAAUAUGGAUUGCCCUUACGCGGUCAACGAACUCAUACUAAUGCAAGGACUGCUCGCAAGCAAAUUCGGAAAUGA